rnacentral:rRNA from 1 species
ACGUAGGGUGCGAGCGUUAAUCGGAAUUACUGGGCGUAAAGCGUGCGCAGGCGGUUUCGUAAGACAGAGGUGAAAUCCCCGGGCUUAACCUGGGAAUGGCCUUUGUGACUGCGAGGCUAGAGUGUGACAGAGGGGGGUAGAAUUCCACGUGUAGCAGUGAAAUGCGUAGAGAUGUGGAGGAAUACCGAUGGCGAAGGCAGCCCCCUGGGUUACUACUGACGCUCAUGCACGAAAGCGUGGGGAGCAAACAG